AUUCAUUUAUUACAAACUUUGUGAGUUUGAAUGAAAUAUUUUUAUUCAGAAAUCAGAAUGUAUAAUUUGUUCUAUUUUUGAAUAGUGUAAUAUCAGACAGUGUCUAUGUUUUUUUUUAACUUGUAAUGAAAUUGUUAGUUUGUUUAUGAGGGUAAAUUUGUAUAAUUGUUGUUGUUGUUGAAGUGGUUCUAUAUACAUGUAUGAAGCAAAAAUAUGAAUAUGAAGUAGAUUUUAAAAAUAACAUUUAAUGCUAAAAAAGAAUAUGUUGACAGCUUGAUGACAAAAAAGUGUGACCUAUUAAAAAUGUCUGUAAACUGAAAUAAGAGAAUAUUUGUUCUAAUACCCAUUUUAAAGUGACAUUUUGCCCAUCUAAGUGAAAAUGGUCCGUGGACAGGUAAAAGAUCCACUUACUUGACAUUCUGCCAUAUAUUGCAUUUAAUUUUAUAUUUUACCCAGAAAAAAAAUCCAUGUGCCAAAUGGAAAUUUCUAGAAAUAACCUUCAGAAUAUAGCGGUAAUGUUCAAUUAUAAAAAAGAAUGGGGCAGUAGUUGUUCUGAAAUUAUUCCUAAAAAUGAUGUCCAAUAAUGAUUUGUCCAGAUUGAAAGAGAUGGACUAUUCCAUUUAUGAUGUUUAACAGGGAAAUAUAUGUACAUAUGUUUUGAUAAGUAUUAGCAGUAAGUUAUUUAGAUGAUAACAAAGUGAAAUACUUACUUUGUAUUUUAAUUAUUUGACAAUAGUAAAGGAAAAAGAGGUAAAACUUUCAGUAUUAGUAAAAUAAGUUGAACAUGGUAUAUGAGGACAUUUGAGUGUUUGAUGCAUGUAGUAAGGUUUAUUAUGCCUUAACUAUGAUAUAUGGCAUAUAGUGUUUUCCUUGUCUGUGUGUAUUUAUGUGUAUAUGUGUUAACACAUCAUCCCCAAUUCAUACUUAGUCACAAUAUAUUUUGUUAUUUCUUGACAGAAAUUUUAAUCGUUAGAGACAAUUUGUCAUUUCCAAGGUCAAUAUUUGUUGUUUGUUUUUCCAAGGUCAAUUGUCGUUUUUCCAAGGUCAAUUGUCGUUUUUCCAAGGUCAAGGUUAUACGCAGAGAAACAAGGUCAAAAUCUCUGUCUAUUUUUGUGUCUGACAAAGGCUGAUAUAUAAUUUUGUCAUUUCUAAACAACUUAAGACAUCUCGAUAGAAAUUUCAAAUAUCAUGAGUCAAUGUUUCACCCACAAGGCUCAGGUCUUUAGGUCUAAGGUCAAGGUCUUAAGAUGUCAAAACUAUGACCUAUUGUCACAUGACGUCCAACUCACAAUUAUAAUACAAGUGUUUUCAUGUCAUAUAGUUGGGGAGGAAACAUCCUUGUUGUAUGGAUGCACUUUUAGUUACAUGUAUUAAUAUAGCACAGUAUAGGAUACAGUACGUUUGAUACGUACACUAUUAAGAAAUGUAAAACAUUUGUUACUAGAGCAUUUUUUCAUUAUACAUGCUAAUUAUCAGUUUUUGGAUAUAAUAAAAAAGUGAAAGUAG